rnacentral:rRNA from 1 species
AUUGAACGCUGGCGGCAGGCCUAACACAUGCAAGUCGAGCGGAUGAAGGGAGCUUGCUCCUGGAUUCAGCGUCGGACGGGUGAGUAAUGCCUAGGAAUCUGCCUGGUAGCGGGGGAUAACGUCCGGAAACGGGCGCUAAUACCGCAUACGUCCUGAGGGAGAAAGUGGGGGAUCUUCGGACCUCACGCUAUCAGAUGAGCCUAGGUCGGAUUAGCUAGUUGGUGGGGUAAAGGCCUACCAAGGCGACGAUCCGUAACUGGUCUGAGAGGAUGAUCAGUCACACUGGAACUGAGACACGGUCCAGACUCCUACGGGAGGCAGCAGUGGGGAAUAUUGGACAAUGGGCGAAAGCCUGAUCCAGCCAGGCCGCGUGUGUGAAGAAGGUCUUCGGAUUGUAAAGCACUUUAAGUUGGGAGGAAGGGCAGUAAGUUAAUACCUUGCUGUUUUGACGUUACCAACAGAAUAAGCACCGGCUAACUUCGUG